CGAAAAGAAACGCCUGGUAUGCGAAACAAAAAGAUCCGGUGAAUAUCUUCUGCGCAAGCGUCAACAUUUCCGGAGGUAGUUUCCCAUCGGAAGACGAUAGAAAACGGACCGACGCCGGAUGUUGCUGUCGGGUCCGACUGGGGUUGCCCCGGCUGGUAGGCGGGUCGCGCAGGCGCAGAGAGUACCGGCCACGCCAGUUGAGGCGGCCUCAGGUGAGAGCGGGAUGCGGCGACGCCCCUGAGUGAUCAUGGCAGCGGCGGACGAGCUGGCCUUCCACGCAGAGUUCGAGGAAGCCACUAAUUUGCUGGCCCAGACCCCAGAAGCGACCACCACCAGAAGUGAUCAGUUGACCCCCCAGGGGCAUGUGGCUGUGGCCAUGGGCUCAGGGGGCAGCUAUGGAACUGAGGAUGAUGCAGAGGAGAGUGACAAGGCAGCGCUCCUACAGGAGGAGAAGCAGCAGCCUGGUUUCUGGACCUUUGGCUACUAUCAGACAUUCUUUGACGUGGACACUUCACAGGUCCUGGACCGGAUUAAAGGCUCACUGCUGCCCCGGCCUGGCCACAACUUUGUACGGCACCAUCUGCGGAAUCGGCCAGACCUGUAUGGCCCCUUCUGGAUCUGUGCCACACUGGCCUUUGUCUUGGCUGUCACCGGCAAUCUGACCCUGGUGCUGGCCCAGAAGAGGGACCCUUCCAUCCACUACAGCCCGCAGUUCCACAAAGGUAAGCAAAUUGGGCAAGGCCUGGUACCUGGCGGGCCCAGGGGUGCCCCAGGGGGUGAUGACCUGCCUUGCCCCACAGUGACCGUGGCUGGCAUCACCAUCUACUGCUACGCAUGGCUGGUGCCGCUGGCACUGUGGGGCUUCUUGCAGUGGCGCAAAGGUGUCCGAGAGCGCAUGGGGCCCUACACCUUCCUGGAGACAGUGUGCGUCUACGGCUACUCCCUGUUUGUCUUCAUCCCCACUGUGGUGAGUGGGGCCCAGGGAUGGGCCACAGGUGCCCUGGGGACGAGACCUGGUAGCCAACUGUCUGUCGCCUCCAGGUCUUAUGGCUCGUCCCCAUCCCGUGGCUGCAGUGGCUCUUUGGGGCACUUGCCCUGGCCCUCUCAGCCGCUGGCCUGGUGUUCACCCUCUGGCCGGUGGUCCGCGAGGACACCAGGUUGGCAGCCGCAGUGCUGCUCUCUGCCGUGGUGCUGCUCCACGCCCUCCUGGCCAUGGGCUGUAAGGUACCAGUCUCGGGGAAGUCAUAGGUUGGGCCUUGGGUUUUGGGGUUGGCUUGCGGGCUCUGAUGCUGACCUCAGGGGAUCUUGGGUCAGUUUUACUUCUUCCAGCCGCUGCCUCCGGAGCUCCUAGAACCUCCCCACCAGGCCACAGCCCAGCCCCCAAACAUACCGCUGCCACCCACCCUACCAAAGUCCAUGGCGACCUAGGAAGGCUGGAGCCCACAGGCCCAUCAGGAGGGGAUGCCUCUGCCUGCCCUGCCCCCAAGACGGUGACUGAAGGCACCCCUGGAACCUCAAGAUCAUUCUGCUACUUUCCAGACUUUUCUUACAAAGCAAACACUUUUAUUUUCUAUGCAAAGGUGAUUCAGAGAAUUUAUAUAAAGGCGGGAAGAGGGACAGAGCAGGGAGCUUCCAGGGCAGCCAUCGCCCCAUGGGCUACCUGCCAGGACGGGUGGGCAGCAAAAGGGCCACCCCAGCCUUGGCUGUGCCUGCUCUCACUGGGGUGCCCAGCUUGUGGGCCUUGGGCCUAGCUCCACCACAUCUGAGUUUGCGGGUGUUAGAAACGGGGAGAAGUAGAAGAAAACUGCCUGUGCUGAAACAUACAUUUCCUUGUUUAUUUUGCUUUUCUUUUUUGGAGGGGUCCCUGCAAGGCCCCUUCCCAGACUGGGGAGGGACCAAAAUGCCAUUAUAGUGGGGACUUGAGCAUCUACAAAUACUGAAGGGGACACACAGGCCUAACAUUAGCUACACGGAAAAAGGACGCCUUUCACCACAGACCCUUGAGGUUUGUGUCUGCCCCAAGUGGCUGAUGGUGACCCUUCCCUCCAGGGCCCACAGGGCCACCUGUUCUAGCUCUGGGUGCGGGUGGGGGUGGGAGACCUGCAGGGGCUCAGGGACAGGACAGCAGCAAGAGGCAGGGGCUGAGGACGGAGGGCCUUCCCGACAGCCGGGUGGGUUGUACAUUCAAGUGUGAGGUGAACCCUUUGGUGGGAGGGGGCCGAGGGGUCCAGAGGCCCAGCCCUGCCCCAUCCUGCAGACCCGCAGGGCUGCCCCUCGCCACUGAGCCUCUGAGUCGGGGAGAGGGGCUGCUGGCUCGGCCCGGCCGGCCUGAUUUCUCAGAGGGUCUGUGGAUUGACACUGGUUCUUUUCGUAAAAAAAUAAAAUUAAAAAAAGCA